AGGGCUUUAGCUCAGUGGUAGAGCGCUUGCCUAGCAAGCACAAGGCCCUG
rnacentral:tRNA from 1 species